rnacentral:piRNA from 1 species
UGUUUAUUCAUAGACAUUGAAUUUCAUGC